CCCUUGCUUCCGAACUGCCGCCGUAUGGUGAGCGUGCCCGGUUCCGCCGGGAGUAGGAAGCAGGGGGCGC
rnacentral:sRNA from 12 species